GAAUGGGCCUCCUUUCUCUGGGCCUAUUUGCAUCAGGAAACCAGAACAAUUUACAUUUUAUUAGUAUUACCUUUAUUCAGUGCAGAAGAGAGAAAUGACUGCAGGGGAAAACACCAACAAUGUUUGCAACAGGAGGCAAGGAGUGGAGGAUCAAAAGUCCAAGCAGAGAAUGGACUGUAGUGGUGGAUGUAGAAAUCACUGAAAAUGAGGACGGGGUGUAGUGGCGCCAGCAGCCAGCAGGGCUCAAGUCUUCAACAAUGGCCACAGUGCUGGGGAAGGAGCAGAGCACUGCAUAGCAGGAGUGAUGGGUGCUGUCCAGAAAGGUCCUUCCGUGUUUUCAGAUGGGCAGCCUACUCUCUCUGUUGCCCUGGACCCUCGGCCUCAGGACCCUUCCUCUUCUUGGAGUCUCGCCUCCCCUGUCCUCACCCCAGGCUGCCUGCAGCCCACCAUGCUGCACUCAUCUCCUUUUCCCAGAGCAGCAUCCCGCGCCAGCUCUCAGAUAGAUGGAAAAGCUGCAGCAGCACAGAGAGCAGAAGCAGUCGAGAUGCAGGAGCCUUUCUCCUCUCCAGACGACAGUGCACCCCCGGCCCGCUAGUCCUUCCGGGCCUCCUGUCCACACCCAGCGCUCCAACUCCAUGUUUGCAUCCGCCUUCGCGACCCUCUGCAGUCUGGUGAGUCCCCCACCCACACAUUCGCCUCAUGGACUCGCUCCACACCUAUGAGCUCCCAUUCUGCAGGAGAAGUCAGGUGCGGGGAAUGGGAAUACAACGGACCCUCAUCCGGCCUGGGAGGGCCCCUCCAAGACCUCCAGCACCCCAACCCAGUUUGGCACAGGAUGCUCGUGUCCCCAGACAGCCGGUCAACUGCGAGCCCUCCGACACAGCUCAGCAGAGAGCCGGCGAGUCCCCCAGACACCAAGCCGAUGUGGAGUCCUGGACCCAGCUCUGCAAAGUGCAGCCCAGGACCCCACCCAGUUGCACACCAGGCGUCAAGCCCAAGGUUUCCGUUGCCAUUCCGAGUCAUCAUCUGCCUGUGGCCAUCAGCACCUGUGCCAGGCCCAGGUGAGCUGGCUGGAAGACGCUGCUACCUGGUAGAAGAAAAUACCUUAUACCAGUCAUUGUGUGCCACUGUACCGCACUCUGAGAAUCUGAGCCCGAAAGUCGCAGACAGAAGAAUGGCCUCAGAAACUUCCCAUUGCCUCCUGGCAACCAUGGCUGUGGCCACAUCCUUGGCUCCCAGGACGUGCCCCAGCUGCCAGAAAGGGAAGAGUCAAUCCCAAUGGCCCCUCCCACACCACAAUUGGAUCAAUCUGUGAUACAGAUGUAAGGCCAGGAAAGGGGGCAGGAAGAACAGCCUAAACUCAAAGAAGCAGAGUGUCUUGACCCAGACAUGAGAAAUCUGAGGCUCCCAGUCCAGGAAAUCCGUCUCUACUGGAGAGCAGGCCAGGGGCUGUCUGUGAAUGCGGAGAUCGCUGCCUCUGUCGGAGGCGCACUUGGAAGUGCCAGUGAUUCUUGGCCAAGUGCCAAGGCCUGGCCAGUGCUUUGAGCCAUUCAGAGCACAGUUCCCCUGUGCCCAGGUGCUGGUGGGUUCAUGGCCUGAAGACCUCUGGUUUGGGACCAACGUCAGCCUGAUGACCUGGUGGCGUAUCACCUGGGAGCCUUUUUCUUCUGGGGAGUUCUCUUGUUCAGAAGGAGCAAAGGCUGCCAUGCCUUAGAACAGAGAAUAACUGGCAUUUGGAAGAGCUGUCCAUGGAAAUCCAACUUACAGAGCAAGCGUAGCAGACUGAGGGAAAGCUGAAACUGAUGAAAACAGCUCUUGACACCAGCAG
rnacentral:lncRNA from 1 species